rnacentral:rRNA from 1 species
CAGUCGCCGCGGGAAUACGUAGGGUGCGAGCGUUAAUCGGAAUUACUGGGCGUAAAGCGCACGCAGGCGGUCUGUCAAGUCAGAUGUGAAAUCCCCGGGCUUAACCUGGGAACUGCAUUUGAAACUGGCAGGCUAGAGUCUUGUAGAGGGGGGUAGAAUUCCAGGUGUAGCGGUGAAAUGCGUAGAGAUCUGGAGGAAUACCGGUGGCGAAGGCGGCCCCCUGGACAAAGACUGACGCUCAGGUGCGAAAGCGUGGGGAGCAAACAGGAUUAGAUACCCGGGUAGUCCCUGUCUCUUAUAC